rnacentral:rRNA from 1 species
GACGAACGCUGGCGGCGUGCUUAACACAUGCAAGUCGAGCGGUAAGGCCCUUUCGGGGGUACACGAGCGGCGAACGGGUGAGUAACACGUGGGUGACCUGCCCUCAGCUCUGGGAUAAGCCUGAGAAACUGGGUCUAAUACUGGAUAUGACUCCACGGUGCAUGUCGUGGGGUGGAAAGCCUUGUGCGGCUGAGGAUGGGCCCGCGGCCUAUCAGCUUGUUGGUGGGGGAUGGCCUACCAAGGCGACGACGGGUAGCCGGCCUGAGAGGGCGACCGGCCACACUGGGACUCGAGACACGGCCCAGGACUCCUACGGGAGGCGAGCAGUGGGGAAUCUUGCGCAAUGGGCGAAAGCCUGACGCAGCGACGCCGCGUGAGGGAUGACGGCCU